rnacentral:rRNA from 1 species
UGCGGAGGGAUCAUUACCGAGUUAUACAACUCAUCAACCCUGUGAACAUAGCUAAAACGUUGCUUCGGCGGGAACAGACGGCCCCGUAACACGGGCCGCCCCCGCCAGAGGACCCCCUAACUCUGUUUCUAUUAUGUUUCUUCUGAGUAAAACAAGCAAAUAAAUUAAAACUUUCAACAACGGAUCUCUUGGCUCUGGCAUCGAUGAAGAACGCAGCGAAAUGCGAUAAGUAAUGUGAAUUGCAGAAUUCAGUGAAUCAUCGAAUCUUUGAACGCACAUUGCGCCCGCCAGUAUUCUGGCGGGCAUGCCUGUUCGAGCGUCAUUACAACCCUCAGGCCCCCGGGCCUGGCGUUGGGGAUCGGCGAGGCGCCCCCUGCGGGCACACGCCGUCCCCCAAAUACAGUGGCGGUCCCGCCGCAGCUUCCAUUGCGUAGUAGCUAACACCUCGCAACUGGAGAGCGGCGCGGCCACGCCGUAAAACACCCAACUUCUGAAUGUUGACCUCGAAUCAGGUAGGAAUACCCGCUGAACUUAAGCAUAUCAAUAAGCGGAGG